AUUGAACGCUGGCGGGAUGCUUUACACAUGCAAGUCGAACGAGUGGCGGACGGGUGAGUAAUAUAUCGGAACGUGCCAAAUCGCGGGGGAUAACUACUCGAAAGAGUGGCUAAUACCGCAUACUAUUGGAGCGGCCGAUAUCGGAUUAGCGAGUUGGUGGGGUAUAGGCUCACAAAGGCAGCGACCCGUAGCUGGUUUGAGAGGAAGACCAGCAAAAUUGGGACGUAGACACGGCCCAGACUCCGACGGCAGGCAGCAGUGGGGAAUCUUGGCAAAGGGGGGAAAGCCUGAGCCAGCAAUCCCGCGUGUAUGAAAAGGCCUUCGGUUUGUAAAGUACUUUCGGCGGUGAGGCGGUAUCUGCAGAAUAAGCACCGGCUAACUACGUGCCAGCAGCCGCGGUAAUAC
rnacentral:rRNA from 1 species